GUAGGUGGCAAGCGUUGUCCGGAAUUAUUGGGCGUAAAGCGCGCGCAGGCGGUCCUUUAAGUCUGAUGUGAAAGCCCACGGGCUCAACCGUGGAGGGUCAUUGGAAACUGGGGCACUUGAGUACAGAAGAGGAAAGCGGAAUUCCAAGUGUAGCGGUGAAAUGCGUAGAGAUUUGGAGGAACACCAGUGGCGAAGGCGGCUUUCUGGUCUGUAACUGACGCUGAGGCGCGAAAGCGUGGGGAGCAAACAGGAUUAGAUACCCUGGUAGUCCACGCCGUAAACGAUGAGUGCUAAGUGUUAGGGGGUUUCCGCCCCUUAGUGCUGCAGCUAACGCAUUAAGCACUCCGCCUGGGGAGUACGGCCGCAAAGGCUG
rnacentral:rRNA from 1 species